CGGCCAGAGACCUCACUCACUGGAAUUGCAAUAAUCCGACACUACAGCCCCUCUCCCUUAUCCCAUCACCUUCCACCCCAGAACUCUCUGCUUCACCUUCACACUAAGCCGCCGCCGCCGCCGCAGGAGCCGCAGCGAGCCUUGCUGCUCCUCUCCUCCAUCUUCUUCAGUUCGUCUCCAUCUCUGAAUCCCCUAACCACAAGCUUCAGCCUCCAAUAUCCAGGCAACUGGUAGUGUGAGGAGAAUCCAAUUGAAGGCCACUGGUAGUGGAAAGAUGAGAUAUAUGUGCCAUGUGCCUUGCAGGUUCGAACGGUUUCAAUUUUAAUUGUGUUGCUCUAUUUGUUCUUCUUAAUUUGUUUGUAUUGGUUUGAGUUUUACGUUUUAUUGGGUUUUCUGAGAAUCUGAACAGGUUUUGAAGCGGCACAAUGGAAACUGCUCAGUAUUCCAAAUAGUCAUUUUAAUCAUCAUUUGGACUACCCAAUUAUAGUUGUACAAGGAAAUUUUAUUGAGUGCUAUGUUAUGCUAGUUGCUGACUCAAAUCUAUAUUCUGAAUUCUAAAAUUAAUUGAGUGCUAUGUUAUACUAAUUGCUGACAUUUUCCCUUCAUUUACUUAUUGAACGUUAGUCUGGUGCUUGCUAAAAAUAUUUACUGGUUAUAUUUCUCUUUAAAUUUGAAGCCUUCCUACCAAUUUCAACAUUUGCAGCCUUGAUUUUAUAACCAUUUUCAUUACUUUGGCAAGAACAUUUUCAGGUCUUUAAAAAUUAGUGCAAUUUUACAACACAAUUUUUGCAUGGCUUCUGUAUUGAGGUUUGAUUAAUUUAGCUUAAGCAAUAUGCUAUAUGUCUCCGACUUUUCAAAUAAUUGUCAUUUGAUUGAAUAGUUAUAUCUCUUGCAAGUGAAUGAAAUUCUUAAGUCGUUUCUCAUUUCAUGGAGUCCUUUCAAGUGUUAAUGAAAAUGUAGGGUGAGCUGGUGGUGCUAUCACUGGAAGUAACAACCACGCCAUGUUCUAUCCAUCAUUAAUGUCAGUCUCCAUGCGCCUAGAGGAUGAUUGAUCGCGGGAUGUGUCAUCUCUUGAUAUGGGAAAUUGGCAAGAUCUGGAUUACAAUUAUUUCUUUUUGUUACAGGUCUAGAUUACUUUGAUGAUCUUUUGUAAAACUGCCCCCAUUUGAUCUUCUAUAUAUGUAGGUGUUUUAGUCAUAUUCCCUUGAGUACUUUUUCUUGUCUACAGACACAGCAUACCAAAGUUUUGGAAAGAUGUGACAAUAAUUUUUGUUCACCUUUAUCUGUAAAUUUUGUGUUCAUUU